AAACAUGUAUCUUGAAAGUUAUAAAAUUUAGGCUGCUAACUUGAAUUAGGGGAAGAUUUGUCUCCGCUUUCAUAUGUUAU
rnacentral:tRNA from 1 species